rnacentral:tRNA from 1 species
GUUAAUAUAGUUUAAACAAAACAUUAGAUUGUGAUUCUAAUAAUAGAAGUUAAACUCUUCUUUUUAACC